UACGUAGGGUGCAAGCGUUAAUCGGAAUUACUGGGCGUAAAGCGUGCGCAGGCGGUUCUAUAAGACAGAUGUGAAAUCCCCGGGCUCAACCUGGGAACUGCAUUUGUGACUGUAGAGCUGGAGUACGGUAGAGGGGGAUGGAAUUCCGCGUGUAGCAGUGAAAUGCGUAGAUAUCGAGAGGAACACCGGCGGCGAAGGCGGCCAACUGGACGAACACUGACGCUGAGACACGAAAGCGUGGGGAGCAAACAGG
rnacentral:rRNA from 1 species